GGUGUUAUAGCAUAGUGGUCAUGCGGUGUACUGUUAAUGCAUUCAACGAAAGUUCGAUUCUUUCUAACACCU
rfam:Malassezia pachydermatis strain CBS 1879 scaffold15, whole genome shotgun sequence.